AUGGACACGAGUCGCGUGCAGCCCAUCAAGCUGGCUAGGGUAACCAAAGUGCUGGGCAGGACCGGUUCGCAGGGACAGUGCACGCAGGUGCGAGUGGAAUUCAUGGAUGACACCAGCCGCUCUAUCAUCCGAAAUGUCAAAGGCCCCGUUCGAGAGGGUGACAUGCUCACCCUAUUGGAGUCAGAAAGAGAAGCUCGAAGGUUGCGUUAA
rnacentral:lncRNA from 1 species